AAAUCUCUCAUCACAGUUUAUUAAAGGUCACAGGUCUGAAUUUACUGAGAGUGAAAACACAGGUUUUGACAGCAGUUCUCAGGAUCACAGGCAGCUGACUACUAAGAAGGGGUUGGCUUUUCAAGAUUUUGCAAGCUGGCUCCUGGGCUCCCGGCAGACAGGCUGGCUGUGGCUGCUGGUUAAGCCUUCCAUCCACCUCCCCUCAAAGACUGCUAAGACAACUAAACUGGGAAGGAUCCCAGUAGUUUUGAUUACAGAGAAGGAAAAUGAGACCCACAUAUUUUACAGCUAAAGCAGAAUUAAAACUCAGAGCCUU
rnacentral:lncRNA from 1 species